UACAAAAAUAUUUUUAAUCUUCCUUUUGCAAUUUCAUAUUACUUUAAAAGUAAUUUCACAUAUACUUUAGAAGUAUCUAUUUCUACAGAAAGAGAUUUCAGAACACCUGGUACAAGGAUUUGAAUCUAAGCUAUUGAAUUUUGAUCCUGUUUGUAUAGCUCAAAUCCUCAGACCUUUCUCCAGAGAGUUUGGAACAUAUACCAAGUAGGUACAAACAUAAUAAGUGUAACUCAGUCUUGGACAAAAAUUUUGAAAAUGUUCAGUAAAUUUUAGUGUAAUAAAAAUAUCUUUCCUUCUUAAUUCUUGUCUCUUCACUCUUUAGUCCCUGGGAACUUUAAAAAUGGGGGUGUACAUAUAUGCAAAUACUGAUAACCUUCAAGAUUGGACUUAAGGAUUGACAAGGAAAAUUGUGCUCAAACCUGAAGCAAUCUCAGUGAUGGUUUUUCCUUGCAGAAACUUAAAGACUCGAUGGCCUAGAAUUUCAGAGACAACAUCUUUUUCCUAAGACUUUGAGAUUUUUUAAACUGAAGAAAAAAUUAAUAACCAAUAGGCCCAAAGUAACCACAGAAGCAUCAGAGGAAAGGCAUUAAGUGGCUCUGGUCAGAUUGCAUCACUGUAUUUUGGAAGAGUAAUUACCUUCUGAGGUAUACUCCAUCAGUAAAGUUAUUUGCAUAGGCAUUUCUGAAGACACAGGACUGAAAUCAACCAGUGGAGAGCUUUGCCCUGUUCCGGGCUGCAGCUCCAGGCAAGCCUUGACUGUAGAGUGUGGCAGUGAGAACUGCUGCUAUUCCAAAGUCAACUUCCACCCCCUCUGCUCUCCAAGAGACAGCCUGUGGGUCCAUGGAGGCCCAUGCAGCAACAAUUGUGAUGGCCUCAUGUAUUUCCCUUUUUGGAUGAAAGAAAAAUGAGUAAGAAAGGUAAGUGAGAUUUAUCAUUUUGUGUGAUGAUCCGUAGCACCUGCACCCAACAUUUGAAGAGCAGUGCUCUAGACAAAUUCCUAGAGGGCAAGGACUGUGUUCUCCUUAUUGUUCUUUUUAAUUCAAUCUGGAAGAUUUUCUUUUUAAAUAAUAAUAAAUAGACAAAAUUUUAAGCUAUUUUACCCUUA
rnacentral:lncRNA from 1 species